AUGGCCGGCGCGGGCCAAAGUGUAGUAUCUGUUCUUAGCAGCUUAAUAUCUGAUACGGGUUGUAUUUAGACGCAAUAUAUUAAACUUAUUUUUGGAAGUUGGUGGAGCGCUUGAAGCCUGCGUCACCUCCGUCGUGGGUCGGCCCGGUAUUGCACUAUCUGCGGGAUUUUUGGUCUACCGACA